CUCGAUGACAAGUUUGAGGUGAAGUUAGGAAGCCUUUAUGAAGUCUGUGCAGAAGAAAAAGACAUGCGUCAGACUGCUACUUCAGGGCAUUUGGAGAAGGCACUUUUGCUGCAGCACCAACAACUUCACUGCUACAAGAUAUCAAGAGGGCAUCGGUCAUUUGGGACCAAGAAGCUGGUAGGUAUGUUUCUGUCCCAGUUCCAGCUUCAGAUACACGUGGUAGAUCAUUCGUACCUGAAGGGUCAAAGACAAGUACAGGACUAAAAAAUGAUGACAAGAGGCCAGUAACUUUUUUGUCUCCCGGUAAUCAUUAGUGAAUUUCAUUUAGACAGUUAAAAUGGUUGCUAAUGUGCUGCAUAAUCUUGUCUAAAUUAGUCUAUUAUCUUAAAAGAUCAGGUACAUCUAAUGACAGUUAUGC